AUUGAACGCUGGCGGCAUGCCUUACACAUGCAAGUCGAACGGCAGCACGAGUGCUUGCACCUGGUGGCGAGUGGCGAACGGGUGAGUAAUACAUCGGAACGUACCUUAUCGUGGGGGAUAACGCAGCGAAAGCUGUGCUAAUACCGCAUACGCCCUGAGGGGGAAAGCGGGGGAUCGCAAGACCUCGCGCGAUUAGAGCGGCCGAUGCCUGAUUAGCUAGUUGGGGGGGUAAAAGCCCGCCAAGGCGACGAUCAGUAGCUGGUCUGAGAGGACGAUCAGCCACACUGGGACUGAGACACGGCCCAGACUCCUACGGGAGGCAGCAGUGGGGAAUUUUGGACAAUGGGGGCAACCCUGAUCCAGCAAUGCCGCGUGAGUGAAGAAGGCCUUCGGGUUGUAAAGCUCUUUUGUCAGGGAAGAAACACCGGCUCUAACACAGUCCGGGAAUGACGGUACCUGAAGAAUAAGCACCGGCUAACUACGUGCCAGCAGCCGCAGUAA
rnacentral:rRNA from 1 species